rnacentral:lncRNA from 1 species
UCCAUCAUCUCCAACCCUUCCCAUCCAUCAUCUCCAACCCUUCCCAUCCAUCAUCUCCAACCCUUCCCAUCCAUCAUCUCCAACCUUAUCCAACCUUCCCAUCCAUCAUCUCCAACCUUCCCAUCCAUCAUCUCCAACCUUCCCAUCCAUCAUCUCCAACCUUUCCCAUCCAUCAUCUCCAACCCUCCCAUCCAUCAUCUCCAACCUUAUCCAACCUUCCCAUCCAUCAUCUCCAACCCUUCCAUCCAUCAUCUCCAACCCUUCCCAUCCAUCAUCUCCAACCCUUCCCCAUCCAUCAUCUCCAACCUUUCCCAUCCAUCAUCUCCAAACCUUCCAUCCAUCAUCUCCAUCCCUUCCCAUCCAUCAUCUCCAACCCCAUCCAACCUUCCCAUCCAUCCAUCUCCAACAUUCCCAUCCAUCAUCUCCAACCCCAUCCAACCCUUCCCAUCCAUCAUCUCCAACCCUCCCAUCCAUCAUCUCCAACCUUCCCAUCCAUCAUCUCCAAACCUUCCAUCCAUCAUCUCCAACCCUUCCCAUCCAUCAUCUCCAACCCUUCCAUCCAUCAUCUCCAACCCUAUCCAACCUUCCCAUCCAUCAUCUCCAACCUUCCCAUCCAACCCUCCCAUCCAUCAUCUCCAAACCUUCCCAUCCAUCAUCUCCAACCCCAUCCAUCAUCUCCAACCUUCCCAUCCAACCUUCCCAUCCAUCAUCUCCAACCCCAUCCAACCUUCCCAUCCAUCAUCUCCAAACUUUCCCAUCCAUCAUCUCCAACCCUGUCCAUCCUUCCCAUCCAUCUCCAAUCAUUCAGAACCUUUCCCAACCUUCCCAUCCAUCUCCAACCUUUGGAUAUGGAGGAGACAGGAGAGACGGAGUCUUGGAAUUGCCCUGGAGAACCUUCAGAGGUCUCUUCCAUCCCAAACAUUCCAGGAUUUUUCCCUGUGGCCACAAGAGUUGGUGGCCUUGGAGGGACCUUUCCAUCCCUAUCCAACCUUUCCAAACCUUCCCGUCCAUCUCCCACUUUUCCCAUCUACCUCCAACCUUUCCAAACCUUUCCCAACCUUCCCAUCCACAUCCAUCCUUUCCAUCCAUCUCCAAACCUUCAGAACCUUUCCCAACUCUUCCCAUCCAUCUCCAACCUUUCCCACCCAGCUCCAACCUUUGGAUAUGAAGGACAAACAGGAGAGACGAAGUCUUGGAAUUGCUCUGGAGAACCUUCAGAGGUCUCUUCCAUCCCAAACAUUCCAGGAUUUUUUUCCUGUGGCCACACGAGUUGGUGGCCUUGGAGUGACCUUCUCAUUCCUAUCCCAACUUUCCCAUCCCCAUCCAACAUUUCCCAACUUUUCUAUCCCUAUCCAACCUUUCCCUUCCAAACCUUCCCAUCCAUCUCCCACUUUUGCCAUCUACCUCCAACAUUUCCAAACCUUUCCCAGCCUUUCCCAUCCACAUCCAACCUUCCCAUCCAUCUCCAAACCUUCAGAACCUUUCCCAACUCUUUCCAUCCAUCUCCAACCUUUCCCAUCCAUCUCCAACUUUUCCCACCCAGCUCCAGCCUCUGGAUAUGGAGGAGACCGGAGAGAUGAAGUCUUGGAUUUGGUUGCUCUGGAGAACAUUUGAAGGUCCCUCCCAUCCCAAACAUUCCAGGAUUUUUUUCCUGUGGCCACACGAGUUGGUGGCCUUGGAGUGACCUUCCCA